GAGCAAUCUGUGUGACUGCGUACCUUUUGUAUAAUGGGUCAGCGACUUAUAUUCUGUAGCAAGGUUAACCGAAUAGGGGAGCCGAAGGGAAACCGAGUCUUAACUGGGCGUUAAGUUGCAGGGUAUAGACCCGAAACCCGGUGAUCUAGCCAUGGGCAGGUUGAAGGUUGGGUAACACUAACUGGAGGACCGAACCGACUAAUGUUGAAAAAUUAGCGGAUGACUUGUGGCUGGGGGUGAAAGGCCAAUCAAACCGGGAGAUAGCUGGUUCUCCCCGAAAGCUAUUUAGGUAGCGCCUCGUGAAUUCAUCUCCGGGGGUAGAGCACUGUUUCGGCAAGGGGGUCAUCCCGACUUACCAACCCGAUGCAAACUGCGAAUACCGGAGAAUGUUAUCACGGGAGACACACGGCGGGUGCUAACGUCCGUCGUGAAGAGGGAAACAACCCAGACCGCCAGCUAAGGUCCCAAAGUCAUGGUUAAGUGGGAAACGAUGUGGGAAGGCCCAGACAGCCAGGAUGUUGGCUUAGAAGCAGCCAUCAUUUAAAGAAAGCGUAAUAGCUCACUGGUCGAGUCGGCCUGCGCGGAAGAUGUAACGGGGCUAAACCAUGCACCGAAGCUGCGGCAGCGACGCUGAUGCGUUGUUGGGUAGGGGAGCGUUCUGUAAGCCUGUGAAGGUGUGCUGUGAGGCAUGCUGGAGGUAUCAGAAGUGCGAAUGCUGACAUAAGUAACGAUAAAGCGGGUGAAAAGCCCGCUCGCCGGAAGACCAAGGGUUCCUGUCCAACGUUAAUCGGGGCAGGGUGAGUCGACCCCUAAGGCGAGGCCGAAAGGCGUAGUCGAUGGGAAACAGGUUAAUAUUCCUGUACUUGGUGUUACUGCGAAGGGGGGACGGAGAAGGCUAUGUUGGCCGGGCGACGGUUGUCCCGGUUUAAGCGUGUAGGCUGGUUUUCCAGGCAAAUCCGGAAAAUCAAGGCUGAGGCGUGAUGACGAGGCACUACGGUGCUGAAGCAACAAAUGCCCUGCUUCCAGGAAAAGCCUCUAAGCAUCAGGUAACAUCAAAUCGUACCCCAAACCGACACAGGUGGUCAGGUAGAGAAUACCAAGGCGCUUGAGAGAACUCGGGUGAAGGAACUAGGCAAAAUGGUGCCGUAACUUCGGGAGAAGGCACGCUGAUAUGUAGGUGAAGUCCCUCGCGGAUGGAGCUGAAAUCAGUCGAAGAUACCAGCUGGCUGCAACUGUUUAUUAAAAACACAGCACUGUGCAAACACGAAAGUGGACGUAUACGGUGUGACGCCUGCCCGGUGCCGGAAGGUUAAUUGAUGGGGUCAGCGCAAGCGAAGCUCUUGAUCGAAGCCCCGGUAAACGGCGGCCGUAACUAUAACGGUCCUAAGGUAGCGAAAUUCCUUGUCGGGUAAGUUCCGACCUGCACGAAUGGCGUAAUGAUGGCCAGGCUGUCUCCACCCGAGACUCAGUGAAAUUGAACUCGCUGUGAAGAUGCAGUGUACCCGCGGCAAGACGGAAAGACCCCGUGAACCUUUACUAUAGCUUGACACUGAACAUUGAGCCUUGAUGUGUAGGAUAGGUGGGAGGCUUUGAAGUGUGG
rnacentral:rRNA from 1 species